GUGCUGAUGUAGGGCAGACGUACAGCAGAUACAGGUUGUCCAUAUAUUAAAAGGGAUUGAUCAUGGUGAAGGUACAAAGCUGCAAAAAUGAUGACUGCAUGUGCAUCGAUCAAUAUCCACUCAAUAAUAUGAAAACACGAUGAAAACAAACGAUGAAAACAAACGAACCAGCAGCAGAAAAGAAAUUUGAGUAUAAGAUUAUUGAAAGAUUAAUCAAUGAAGACUUAAUGGAACAGGAUUGGAAUGCAGAAACUUUGGACUUAAUUCAUGAAUAAUAUCAAUGGAUGAUGAAGAAAACUGACCAAACUGACAAAGUAUUUCGUAUGCAUGUAAACUGAACAUUUUUGUUUGUUUAACAUUGUUUAAUGCACAAUAAACAAAUUUGUAAAAUUGAAAAUUAAAACCAUUUGUGAAAGAUUUCAAGAGGACCAAAAGUUACCAUGGAUUUAUGAAUGAUUUAACCAGAAAAAUGAUUUACAUGUACAAUUAAGUAAAUACAUCUUUGACUAAAAAAUGAUAAUUUGUCAACGUUAAUAUUUUAAAGAGGUUGAUCUUUUCGUUUAAAAGGUCUUAAAUGUGGAUGAUGUAUAAACUGUUGUAAUUUCUUUAAUUGUUGACUUGCAUUAAAAUGGUUAUUGUCUUA